GUACAAUAUAAAGUGGAUUCCAUACAAAAGUAAAGAUAGACGCCAAAUUUUAAUUAGAUGGCUCAAUUUUUUAGGGUUUGGGAAAGUUCUUUGGGAGGAACAUGCUCUCUCUCUUAUCUCUCUAAAAUCUUUUAGCGAGAGAGAAUGUUUGUUUUGCCGUCCGGUGUUUUCCGGCUUCUGUCCAACAUCUCUAGCUUUUAUAGUGGGAUGGUUGGCUUUUAUCUGGCAUCGUUGGCUUUUUUAGCAACGUCGGCCGGCUUUCUUCCGGCAUAGGUGGCUCUGAUUAGCACCUUUGGCCGGCUCUGCUUCUGGCAUAGGUGGCUCCAAUUAACACGUCUGGCUGGCUUUGUUUCCGGGGCUCGAUCUGGUUGGGAGUUGUGGAUUGGUGUCUCUCUUAGUUCUUUGGGAUGAUUUAGAAGCAAUUAAAGCAAUUGAUGGUAUAAUCCAUAUGCCGAUACUGGUUGGAUAGAGGUAGUUUGUUUGUUUUGCAGGUUCAAUGGUGGAAGCUUUUAAGAUAAAAAACCUUGACGAUAGAAAAGCUGUUAAUCGAAGAUGAAGAAGAUUUUCAGAUUGUGCUAAGUGGAGUCUUAUUCUCAUCAACCUAAACUGGGAUCUUGCCUUUAAAUCUUUGGGCAAAGAGUAAGAUCGGUCGAGCAUUCAGUUUUCUGGUGAUUUCGGCUGGGAUAGUUGCCUUCCGGCGACACAGCAACUGCUGGAGAUCGGAGAUUUCCACCCCUUCGUUUUUCCACGUGUCUUCUUACAUGUUCUCCAAUAGCCACGUGUUAUGUGUUGUAUUUGAGCUUUCCAUAUCCAAGAGUUAUCUUAUUGAGUUUUUGUUU